UACCAGCACCCCGAGUGGUCGGGACGUUUAUUGGGCCGAAAGCAUCCGUAGCCGGUUCUACAAGUCUUCCGUUAAAUCCACCUGCUUAACAGAUGGGCUGCGGAAGAUACUAUAGAGCUAGGAGGCGGGAGAGGCAAGCGGUACUCGAUGGGUAGGGGUAAAAUCCAUUGAUCCAUUGAAGACCACCAGUGGCGAAGGCGGCUUGCCAGAACGCGCUCGACGGUGAGGGAUGAAAGCUGGGGGAGCAAACCGG
rnacentral:rRNA from 1 species